rnacentral:rRNA from 1 species
GACGAACGCUGGCGGCGUGCCUAAUACAUGCAAGUUGAGCGCUGAAGGUUGGUACUUGUACCCACUGGAUGAGCAGCGAACGGGUGAGUAACGCGUGGGGAAUCUGCCUUUGAGCGGGGGACAACAUUUGGAAACGAAUGCUAAUACCGCAUAAAAACUUUAAACACAAGUUUUAAGUUUGAAAGAUGCAAUUGCAUCACUCAAAGAUGAUCCCGCGUUGUAUUAGCUAGUUGGUGAGGUAAAGGCUCACCAAGGCGAUGAUACAUAGCCGACCUGAGAGGGGGAGCGGCCAAAUUGGGACUGAGACAAGGCCCAAACGCCUACGGGAGGCAGCAGUAGGGAAUCUUCGGCAAUGGACGAAAGUCUGACCGAGCAACGCCGCGUGAGUGAAGAAGGUUUUCGGAUCGUAAAACUCUGUUGGUAGAGAAGAACGUUGGUGAGAGUGGAAAGCUCAUCAAGUGACGGUAACUACCCAGAAAGGGACGGCUAACUACGUG